GCAGUCGAGCGGGGAAGGUAGCUUGCUACCUGACCUAGCGGCGGACGGGUGAGUAAUGCUUAGGAAUCUGCCUAUUAGUGGGGGACAACAUUCCGAAAGGAAUGCUAAUACCGCAUACGCCCUACGGGGGAAAGCAGGGGAUCUUCGGACCUUGCGCUAAUAGAUGAGCCUAAGUCAGAUUAGCUAGUUGGUGGGGUAAAGGCCUACCAAGGCGACGAUCUGUAGCGGGUCUGAGAGGAUGAUCCGCCACACUGGGACUGAGACACGGCCCAGACUCCUACGGGAGGCAGCAGUGGGGAAUAUUGGACAAUGGGCGAAAGCCUGAUCCAGCCAUGCCGCGUGUGUGAAGAAGGCCUUUUGGUUGUAAAGCACUUUAAGCGAGGAGGAGGCUACUUGGAUUAAUACUCUAGGAUAGUGGACGUUACUCGCAGAAUAAGCACCGGCUAACUCUGUGCCAGCAGCCGCGGUAAUACAGAGGGUGCGAGCGUUAAUCGGAUUUACUGGGCGUAAAGCGUGCGUAGGCGGCUUCUUAAGUCGGAUGUGAAAUCCCUGAGCUUAACUUAGGAAUUGCAUUCGAUACUGGGAAGCUAGAGUAUGGGAGAGGAUGGUAGAAUUCCAGGUGUAGCGGUGAAAUGCGUAGAGAUCUGGAGGAAUACCGAUGGCGAAGGCAGCCAUCUGGCCUAAUACUGACGCUGAGGUACGAAAGCAUGGGGAGCAAACAGGAUUAGAUACCCUGGUAGUCCAUGCCGUAAACGAUGUCUACUAGCCGUUGGGGCCUUUGAGGCUUUAGUGGCGCAGCUAACGCGAUAAGUAGACCGCCUGGGGAGUACGGUCGCAAGACUAAAACUCAAAUGAAUUGACGGGGGCCCGCACAAGCGGUGGAGCAUGUGGUUUAAUUCGAUGCAACGCGAAGAACCUUACCUGGUCUUGACAUAGUAAGAACUUUCCAGAGAUGGAUUGGUGCCUUCGGGAACUUACAUACAGGUGCUGCAUGGCUGUCGUCAGCUCGUGUCGUGAGAUGUUGGGUUAAGUCCCGCAACGAGCGCAACCCUUUUCCUUAUUUGCCAGCGAGUAAUGUCGGGAACUUUAAGGAUACUGCCAGUGACAAACUGGAGGAAGGCGGGGACGACGUCAAGUCAUCAUGGCCCUUACGACCAGGGCUACACACGUGCUACAAUGGUCGGUACAAAGGGUUGCUACCUAGCGAUAGGAUGCUAAUCUCAAAAAGCCGAUCGUAGUCCGGAUUGGAGUCUGCAACUCGACUCCAUGAAGUCGGAAUCGCUA
rnacentral:rRNA from 1 species